GAUGAACGCUAGCGAUAGGCUUAACACAUGCAAGUCGAGGGGCAGCACAAGGUAGCUUGCUAUCUGGGUGGCGACCGGCGCACGGGUGCGUAACGCGUAUGCAACUUGCCCUAUACAGGAGGAUAACCCGUCGAAAGACGGACUAAUACUGCGUAUGCUCACAACUUGGCAUCAAGUGGUGAGGAAAGAAAUUCGGUAUAGGGUAGGCAUGCGUCCCAUUAGCUUGUUGGUGAGGUAACGGCUCACCAAGGCAACGAUGGGUAGGGGAACUGAGAGGUUUAUCCCCCACACUGGUACUGAGACACGGACCAGACUCCUACGGGAGGCAGCAGUGAGGAAUAUUGGUCAAUGGGCGCGAGCCUGAACCAGCCAAGUCGCGUGAAGGAUGACUGUCUUAUGGAUUGUAAACUUCUUUUAUACGGGAAUAACAAGAGUCACGUGUGACUCCCUGCAUGUACCGUAUGAAUAAGCAUCGGCUAACUCCGUG
rnacentral:rRNA from 1 species